CCUGAAUCCGCCAUUGUCUAUCUUUAUCUUAUCCUGAAAAGCUGGUUGGUUGCGAUGCAUCAACACAAAAUAAAGUUCAUAACUAUUUAAAAGAAAGAAGCAAAAAUGUCUAUGUGCUCUCCAGUAUGCAUCAACUCAAACACAAGCGAUUUUCUUCCGAUAUCAACUCCUUGAUAGGUCUAUACAAUUUGGAGGUCGGAAAAUGAAGCGUGGAAAAAACCCCUGCCACUGAUACUCUCGGACCCUCCUUGUUUGCAAGAACUCUGUGCUUAACGCUUUUGAAUUUGUCAUUUGUUAUUAGCUGCAUAAGAUCUCCGAUGUUCACCACUAAAGCUCCAGCGACCGGGGGCACGUCGACCCAGUUGUCCUCAUACCGAAUCUGAAGGCCGCCGAUAUGGUCUUGCAAUAGCACAGUGAUAAAGUCACUGUCGGUGUGCUCUGAUGUGCCGAUGGCUAAAUUCGGCUGUGGGCAUGGUGGGUAAUAGUGGCAUACAAGUGCAAGUCCUUCAUUGCAGUCUAUAUCUUUCAAAUAAUUUGGAUUCAAACCUAGAGCUUCCGACAGCAAUUCAAACAGUAAAUUCCCAAUCUCCAUUACUCGUUUUGAAUAAUCCACAAGAACAUCCCUGCAAAAUACAGAGGUCUUGGGGAUUGUGGGGACUUGGGGCACUGAUAUAGCCAAAGCUAUCCCUCCAAUUGGUGAUGGCUGCAGAGUACAGAUCGAAAUUACUAUUGUAAAUCAAAGGUUUGGUGGGGUCGCGAGUGUAAUAUUGUUUCUUGGAUUCAGUUUCUUGUUCGUUAAAUCUUCGAACUGCAUCUUUCAUCUCCUCAAGAACGUUCGUCGGAAUCCCAUGGUUAAUCAGUUGGAAAAAACCCAAUUUCUCUGACGCUUCUCUGACUCUGUCGAUGGUGUCUUUGCGUUUGAGUGGAUUUUUGUUGAUUUGGUCGAGGUCUAUCACUGGUAUUUGGACUUGGGUUUCGGGGGAAAUAUUGUCGGAGUCAUAAUUCUCGGGUGGUGGGCGGUAAAAGAUACGAGGAAUUUCGGUGAUUCCGGCGUCGACUAAGCCUUUGACGCCGGCUUUGGUGUCAUCGAAAGCUCUGAGGUCAGUUGGUCUAUGGUAGUUUUCAUCGGCUUUGGACAGCGGAGUGAGGUUGAGUCGGUUGACUGUUGAGGCUGCGACCGCCAUUGUGGAGAGGAACAAUUGUCUUCCCCCUAAAGAAGGUGUUUUGAAAAAUUUGGUUAGGGGUUGUCGAUUGUAAUUGUAAACAUGUUAAAUAAAGAAGUGAGGCAUCUAUCGGUUUGUCCCCCAUUGACUUUAAAUAAAUAAUUGUGUUAGAUUUUAAAAGAAACACAUUACUUAUACAUGAGACUUUAUACUAUGAAACUAAUGAAAAAAUUAUUGUAAAUGAUAAAAUUGUUGUAUAA